rnacentral:rRNA from 2 species
AGACCCGAAACCCGGUGAUCUAGCCAUGGGCAGGUUGAAGGUUGGGUAACACUAACUGGAGGACCGAACCGACUAAUGUUGAAAAAUUAGCGGAUGACCUGUGGCUGGGGGUGAAAGGCCAAUCAAACCGGGAGAUAGCUGGUUCUCCCCGAAAGCUAUUUAGGUAGCGCCUCGUGAAUUCAUCUCCGGGGGUAGAGCACUGUUUCGGCUAGGGGGCCAUCCCGGCUUACCAACCCGAUGCAAACUGCGAAUACCGGAGAAUGUUAUCACGGGAGACACACGGCGGGUGCUAACGUCCGUCGUGAAGAGGGAAACAACCCAGACCGCCAGCUAAGGUCCCAAAGUCAUGGUUAAGUGGGAAACGAUGUGGGAAGGCCCAGACAGCCAGGAUGUUGGCUUAGAAGCAGCCAUCAUUUAAAGAAAGCGUAAUAGCUCACUGGUCGAGUCGGCCUGCGCGGAAGAUGUAACGGGGCUAAACCAUGCACCGAAGCUGCGGCAGCGACGCUGAUGCGUUGUUGGGUAGGGGAGCGUUCUGUAAGCCUGUGAAGGUGUGUCGUGAGGCAUGCUGGAGGUAUCAGAAGUGC